UACGUAGGGGGGCUAGCGUUGUCCGGAAUCAUUGGGCGUAAAGAGCGUGUAGGCGGCUCGGUAAGUCCGCUGUGAAAAGUCCAGGGCUCAACCCCUGGAAUGCCAGUGGAAACUGUCGAGCUAGAGUCCGGGAAGAGGCGAGUGGAAAUUCCUGGUGUAGCGGUGAAAUGCGCAGAUAUCAGGAGGAACACCAAUGGCGGAAGGCAGCUCGCUGGGACGGUACUGACGCUGAGACGCGAAAGCGUGGGAGCAAACAGG
rnacentral:rRNA from 1 species